CAAUAGCGUAUAUUAAAGUUGUUGCAGUUAAAAAGCUCGUAGUUGGACCUUGGACCUGGACAGGCGAUCCGCCUCACGGCGUGUACUGUCUUGCUGGGUCUUUCCUCUUGGUGAUCUGUUGUUUCGGCAGCAGGGAACCAGGACUUUUACUUUGAAAAAAUUAGAGUGUUCAAAGCAGGCUCGACGCCGGAAUAUAUUAGCAUGGAAUAAUAAAAUAGGACGUGCGGUUCUAUUUUGUUGGUUUUUGGAAUCGCCGUAAUGAUUAAUAGGGACAGUCGGGGGCAUUAGUACUCACAUGCUAGAGGUGAAAUUCUUGGAUUUUGUGAAGACUAACUUCUGCGAAAGCAUUUGCCAAGGAUGUUUUCAUUAA
rnacentral:rRNA from 1 species